rnacentral:tRNA from 3 species
GCCCCCAUAGCUCAGUGCAUAGAGCAGCGCCCUUCUAAGGCGAGUGUCCCAGGUUGGAAUCCUGGUGGGGGUG